rnacentral:rRNA from 1 species
GAUGAACGCUGGCGGCGUGCUUAACACAUGCAAGUCGAGCGAAGCGAUUUUAAGGAAGCCUUCGGGUGGAAUUAAAAUUGACUUAGCGGCGGACGGGUGAGUAACGCGUGGGUAACCUGCCUCAUACAGGGGGAUAACAGUUAGAAAUGACUGCUAAUACCGCAUAAGCGCACAGUGCUGCAUAGCACAGUGUGAAAAACUCCGGUGGUAUGAGAUGGACCCGCGUCUGAUUAGGUAGUUGGUGGGGUAACGGCCCACCAAGCCGACGAUCAGUAGACGACCUGAGAGGGGGAGCGGCCACAUUGGGACUGAGACACGGCCCAAAGUCGUACGGGAGGCAGCAGUGGGGAAUAUUGGACAAUGGGGGAAACCCUGAUCCAGCGACGCCGCGUGACUGAAGAAGCAUUUCGGUAUGUAAAGGUCUAUCAGCAGGGAAGAAAAUGACGGUACCUGACUAAGGAGCCCCGGCUAACUACGUGCCAGCAGCCGCCGUAA